GAACGUCGUGAGACAGUUCGGUCCCUAUCUACCGUGGGCGUUGGAAAUUUGAGAGGAUCUGCUCCUAGUACGAGAGGACCAGAGUGGACGAACCACUGGUGUUCGGGUUGUCAUGCCAAUGGCAUUGCCCGGUAGCUACGUUCGGAUGGGAUAACCGCUGAAAGCAUCUAAGCGGGAAGCCCACCUCAAGAUUAGAUUUCCCUAAAGAGCCGUUCAAGACUAGGACGUUGAUAGGCAGGGUGUGGAAGCACAGCGAUGUGUGUAGCUAACCUGUACUAAUU
rnacentral:rRNA from 1 species